rnacentral:rRNA from 1 species
GACGAACGCUGGCGGCGUGCUUAACACAUGCAAGUCGAACGGUGAAAGCGGAGCUUGCUCCGCUGGAUCAGUGGCGAACGGGUGAGUAACACGUGAGCAACCUGCCCCUCACUUCGGGAUAACUCCGGGAAACCGGGGCUAAUACCGGAUAUGACCUCCUUGGGCAUCCUUGGAGGUGGAAAGUUUUUCGGUGAGGGAUGGGCCCGCGGCCUAUCAGUUUGUUGGUGGGGUAAAAGCCCACCAAGGCGACGAUCAGUAGCUGGUCUGAGAGGGUGAUCGGCCACAUUGGGACUGAGACACGGCCCAGACUCCUACGGGAGGCAGCAGUGGGGAAUAUUGCACAAUGGGGGAAACCCUGAUGCAGCAACGCCGCGUGAGUGAUGACGGCCUUCGGGUUGUAAAGCUCUGUCUUUGGGGACGAUAAUGACGGUACCCAAGGAGGAAGUCACGGCUAACUACGUGCCAGCCGCCGCGGUAA